rnacentral:rRNA from 1 species
GAGGAAGGUGGGGAUGACGUCAAGUCCUCAUGGCCCUUACCGGGUAGGGCUACACACGUGCUACAAUGGCAGUGACAAUGGGAUAAUCCCAAAAAGCUGUCUCAGUUCGGAUUGUCGUCUGCAACUCGACGGCAUGAAGGUGGAAUCGCUAGUUAAUCGUGGAUCAGCAUGCCACGGUGAAUACGUUCCCGGGCCUU